CAAAUAUCAUGUCCAUUCUUCCUGAUUCCUCACACACAAACCUAAUCAAAACCAAUGGUGGAAGAACCUUAACAACCUAAACUACAAUUAAAUCAUAACCAAUUGGAAUCAAAGCCCGAUAGGUUGGGGCUUUGAUUCCCCAAUCUUCCCUCUACAUCACUGUAACCAACAUGAAGUGAAUCAUAGAAGAAAAAGGAAAGCACUCACCAGAGCCGAGGUCAGAAAUCAGGAUAUGUUUGAUGCAUGUCUAGGAUGUUGGAUUGUUUCACUUGCUGCAGAUGGUUGACUAAAGUAUCAUGGCUUGUUAUGAUUAUUAUUGCAUGACAUGGUGCUUGAUGGUGGCGUAUUACCUUGGCUCUAUGAAUAUGUGGUAUGAUAGUUGUUUGGCUUGAACAAGAUGAUAACCAUGAUGAAUGUACCUGCUGCUACUACAUUGUGAAUGAUAAUGAACUAAACACAUGUCAACCAUUUCCCUGCUACUGAUUAUUGUUGUUUUGUAGGUCUGCUACAGAAUUUUGGACUUAAUGUAGGCAUAUGGUGUUGUAUCAUGAUGGUCUGAUGUAGCAGAGUCAUAGCAUGUUGCAGGGCCAAUUGCUGCAGGAAUUACUCUUGCUAUGUAUUUUGGUGAAAGGCCUGGUUUGUGUGAUUGGACAUGGUUGCAAGGCAAAUUCCAAGUGUAUUCAAGGCAUGACCAAGUUCAAGGUAUGGCAAACUUGGUGCAAAAUGGCUUUCUUGUCCAUGAGGCAAUAUGAUGAUAAAAUCUCAUGAAAUAAUGCAAGAGUGAAGAUGUAAUACACAUUAGGGUUUAGGUCAUGGAAAAAGAGGUUGGUUGACUUUGGUCAACUGGUUGACCAAAAAGUCAAUAGUUGACCAAAAGUCAACCCUUUGUAAAAAAGUCAUUUUUGUAUUUCCUUUUGUAAUGGACAAUGUAAAUGCUAUUUUAAUGAUUGAUUGAACAUAUGUCUGAAUGAAAUGAUCCAUGAUUGAAUGUUAAACAAUUUGAUUUCAAAAA